UCACAAUAUAUUUUCCUAUGCUAUUAAUCUUCUCCAAUUUCAAAAGAAAAUUAAAAAUUGCCAAGAUGAUGAGAAGGCAACCGAUUGAGUCAAAAUUUCAACGCUUAACGGUUUUUUAAUAAGUUUCGCCGAGUUUUAUGAAUGGUAUCUACAUCAUCUUCGGGUAGGAGAACAACAAUGGCAACAUCGAUGUUGUAGAUUACUUUCGAUUGGAUUUGCAUCUUUGCUUUCAGUGAUUUCUUUUGCAGAUCCAUGACUAUUUCACUACAAUUUACUCGUUAGGUCUUUUUGUCCAUGUGUAUUUCCAAGUCAGCAAAAAAAAUAUUGUUUUAUGUGAUUUUUAAGGUGACAUGGCAUCUGUUAGUUUUGAGGGGUAAAAGUGAGCCAAUACACUAACGGUAAGGGUAUUUUUGACCCCAAAAUCAAACGGAGGGUACAUUUGAUCCAUUUCCAAUUGUUCAGGGAUAUUUUUGACCCUUUUCCGAAAAAUUACUUCUACUUUUUAUGACUAUACAGGUCCGUAAUCCUAAUAUUGAUUAUUUAAUAUUCUUUUAUGUAUUUCUUUUCUUUUCUUCGUCUUUCCCUCAAUUCAAUCACCUUCUUCCUUCAAAUUACUGUUCAUUGGUGUUCUCGGUUAGAUUUAAUAUAUAUAUAUAUAUUAUAUAUAUAUAAUUGUAACUGUUUUUACCAUAUUUGGGGAUGCAUGUUUCUUUCCUAUUUGGUUAUAUUUUGAAAAAUAUUAAUUAAUUGAAAGAAAAUCCAUUAUUUGGAGAGUUUGUGUUCGACACUCUUUUCAGGUUUUGAUCAAUAUUGGCCGUAUGCAGUUAUAAUUUAUGUUUUUUUUUUUUUCUGGAAUAAAUUUGUGGUGAUUGCUAUUAAGCGUAUAAGCGCACUUCACUUUGCACAUCAUGUAUUCGAUAAAAGUCCUGUUCAUAUUUCUAGAACAAAUGUCUAUUGAUUCAAAUCCUUAAUUUCCCUACAAUUGAAAGCGAUGUAUGUUUUAAAGUGCAUGUGCUCAGAGACUUGACAGAGAAUAGAGAUGCAAACAGUUUCACUUUCGAGAAUAAAUCAAAUUGGUUAGCUUUUAUUGUAGCAUGUAGAAGAAAUGCUUGUUGGAUUGUUGCUAUGUCUGCUACAGUUACAAUAGUUGAAGAUAGACUAUCAAGUAUUUGAAUUAAUGUAGAAAAGAGACAUCUAUAUGAUUGAGAGAAGUUGAUAAUCAAGUUGACGUCAAAAGGUUGGUGAUCAAGUGUAAUAUUGAUACAUUCAAACUUACAUCUCAAUUAAGAAGUACAAACGGUCGAAGUCAAUUAUAGAACUCAACUGGAGUUCGUCAACCCCUCCGUAGUCCCACACUUAGACAGUGGUGUCUCCCUUCACUGUUGGUCGUCACGAGCUACUAGACAGCUCGUCUUAAGCACCGGCCAUGGUCCGUCUAGUGCUCCGUUGACUUCAGUUUUCACUUAGGUAGCUAGUGGUUCCACUGUCACUCUCCACGAGCCAUAAGAUGGCUCGUCUAAUGGACCACGGCUCGUCUGGGGCCUCGUGGUGUUAGACUUGAACUCUAUUCUUUCCAAAUCACUCCCACGAGCAUCUUCACGGCUCGUGCAACACUUCACGACUCGUGUAGCCUUUCGUAUAGCUUCUUGCACUUCAUUUCCCAUCUUUCUUCUUGUCCUUUGCAUCUAAGUGUUUCACCUGUACAACAUAAAAGAAACCAUCAUAUCCACAUAAACAAGCUCGACUUCUCACACUAAUCCUUAGUUUUGAGCGUCAAAUGUUCUAUGAGUUCACGACACAUCAACAAAUGAUCAUCAUGAUUCAUGAUUCUUAUGUAAGUGGUCAUGUUUUUGCUGAGUAUUCCGUGCUUGUGAAAAGUAGGAAUUAUGUCGAUCUAGAACAACAAAUUUCCUCUAGCUCCUGUCAUACCUGAGAUUAUACAUGAUGAUCAUCGUGAAACAAAGGGAAUAAUAUCAAAUGUAUCCUCCUCUGCUGCUUGACAGCCUAAGGAGAAGAUGAUCAUGCAAAAAAAUAGCUAGGGGAAAUGUGUUGGCUCUUUAGAGGAGGGUGAAGUGUUCAUGCUCCGAAUUGAGAUCGAACAUAUCUUAGAUUAAUAAUUAGUAUUAAAUUCAUUUUUAAUCUGACAUAUUUUUAUUGAUUUUCUAAAGAAUAUCAGGGCCCGUGGAGUAGAAGUCGAGUUUAUUACUGCACAACUAUGCACAGAGAGUAGAGUUGGAUUUUGCAGGAACUCAGUGCAAGUGUAAGUCCACGGAAUAAGAAAUUCAAUGGUGUUGGUGUUUCUCUGGCUAUUUACCUAUUGACAAUUGCUAAUGUCAUAUCUUAUCAUAUAAUGUUAUGCAACUAUAUUGAUUGUAUAUUUGUGUCAUCUUUUUAGACACUCAGAUAUGAUGGUUGCUACCUUUUUCUUCAGUGGAUCGAGCGUAAGGAUGUAAGUUACCCAUGUUCUCCUUCCAAUUUUAGUACGGAUUAAUGUGGUGUUAAUGUAUGUAUGCUAGAUAGUAGAUGAAAAAAUAUCAAUGAAAUUUUCAAAUUUGUGUGUUAUAUAUAUCUUAUUU
rnacentral:lncRNA from 1 species